UACGGAGGUGGCAAGCGUUAUCCGGAAUUAUUGGGCGUAAAGCGCGCGCAGGUGGCUUCUUAAGUCUGAUGUGAAAGCCCACGGCUCAACCCUGGAGGGUCAUUGGAAACUGGGAGACUUGAGUGCAGGAGAGGAAAGUGGAAUUCCAAGUGUAGCGGUGAAAUGCGUAGAGAUUUGGAGGAACACCGGUGGCGAAGGCGACUUUCUGGUCUGUAACUGACACUGAGGCGCGAAAGCUUGGGGAGCAAACAGG
rnacentral:rRNA from 1 species